GUUUUAAUAGUUUAAUAAAAACAUUGGUCUUGUAUACCAAAAAUAAGAUUUUAAUUUUUAAAACU
rnacentral:tRNA from 1 species